rnacentral:rRNA from 1 species
UACGGAGGGUGCACGCGUUAUCCUGAUUCACUGGGUUUAAAGGGUGCGUAGGCGGGCUAGUAAGUCCGUGGUGAAAUCCCCGAGCUUAACUCGGGAACUGCCGUGGAUACUAUUAGUCUUGAAUAUCGUGGAGGUAAGCGGAAUAUGUCAUGUAGCGGUGAAAUGCAUAGAUAUGUCACAGAACACCAAUUGCGAAGGCAGCUUACUAAGGUGCAAUUGACGCUGAGGCACGAAAGCGUGGGGAUCAAACAGG